rnacentral:lncRNA from 1 species
AAGAGCGGAGCUACACAGCGGGCUGCAACUGCUCCUGCCUAGAAAGUGUAAAAUUUGCGAUAUAGACCCGGCAGGGCAAGAACUCAGAGAUAUGCUUGCCUCUAACUCCCGAGUACUGAGACUCACCAUGCCCUGCCUUCGCUCCGUUUUGGGUUUUUUGUUUAUUUUUUGAGGCCACUGCUUAGAUCGCUAAGGUCGUACCAACUUCCCGGGCUCCCGUGAGCUGGGAUUACUGGCGUGCUCCACCACACCUGGUUUCUGGAAAUUAAAUUCCGAACGAGAGAGCUAUGACUCCUCCCUGGUCUUCCUGAAGCUCAGCCAUGACCACUAUCAGUACCUCUGAGAAAAGAAGUCUUGGUUCCCAUGAAAGCUAUCCAUCUCCAGCUCUGACAGCGAGAAUGGAAAGGAGGAUGGCCCAGGUAUUCCCACAGCACGCACAGCAUCCUGUCAGACAAUGGCAGAAGUGGAAGCAGCACUAAAGAUGAGGGUGAAGUGGACAGUGGCUCACAGCACACCUUCCCCAGCAACCAACAAGAGGUCUCCGCCUGACUUAAUCCCCUCACCGCGCUUGGGUCCCGGGCCCUGCAGAAGGUGCUCCUGAAGCUGCACACUCGUGCUCCUGGUCUGCUCCAGCACGGAGCCUGCUCCUGGCAAUGCAGAAUGCAUUUAAAGGCACAAAGUCAGCGGUCUGGCCAGUUUCUAGCCACAAAGAAACAUUGCAGUACCAAAGAAUCAGUUGUGCAUCUAAAAUAAACAUUUAGAGUAAUU